AUUGAACGCUGGCGGCAUGCUUUACACAUGCAAGUCGAACGGUAACAGGCCUUCGGGUGCUGACGAGUGGCGAACGGGUGAGUAAUGCAUCGGAACGUACCCAGAGGUGGGGGAUAACGCAGCGAAAGCUGUGCUAAUACCGCAUGUGAUCUGAGGAUGAAAGCGGGGGACCGAGCAGCAAUGUUUGGCCUCGCGCCUUUGGAGCGGCCGAUGUCGGAUUAGCUAGUUGGUGGGGUAAAGGCCUACCAAGGCGACGAUCCGUAGCUGGUCUGAGAGGACGACCAGCCACACUGGGACUGAGACACGGCCCAGACUCCUACGGGAGGCAGCAGUGGGGAAUUUUGGACAAUGGGCGCAAGCCUGAUCCAACAAUGCCGCGUGCGGGAAGAAGGCCUUCGGGUUGUAAACCGCUUUUGGCAGGAACGAAACGGUGUCCGCUAAUACCGGGCGCUAAUGACGGUACCUGCAGAAUAAGCACCGGCUAACUACGUG
rnacentral:rRNA from 1 species